CAGUAAGUCAGGACACAGCAGGGUUGAGAAACACUCAUCAGGUUCCAGCAGAAGGCAAUGGAGGACAACAAACCAUGGGCUCUGAUCUCAGAGGUGGGUGGUGAACAGGGUUACCUUGAAGAAGUCACUGACAUAAUGGAACAACACUUCCAACUCAUCUGCUACAAAGACUUCAUUCAAAACCCCAAGCUGCAUGGUCCUAAAAUCCAGGCCAUGUUUGUUUGGCACCGUCCUUUAGCCGAGCCUUGGCUGCUCAGUUUGCUUCCAUCACUGAAGGUGGUCGCCAAUGGAGGAGUGGGCAUUGACCACCUGAAUGUGCCAUACAUCAGCAGUCUUGGAGUGAAGGUGACCAACACUCCCGGUGUGGUGAGCAAUGCCACAGCAGAUAUGGCACUGGGUCUGCUUUUGGCAUCGGCACGAAAGAUCGUUGAAGGCCACCAAAUAGCUCUGGACCCCAAGACCACCCAUUUACCAGAAAACCUGAUGGGAGUUGAAGUCACAGGGUCCACUCUAGGGAUUAUUGGAAUGGGACACAUUGGGAGCAAAAUCGCUCAAAGAGCCAGAGGAUUCGACAUGAAGAUCCUGUAUCACAACAGGAACAGGAGGAGUGUUGAGGAUGAGCAGGGAGUCGGGGCGAGUUACUGUGAGAACAUGGAUGACUUGCUGAAAGAGUCAGACUUUGUCAUGGUAGCGCUGAACCUGAGCCCUGAAACCACAGGCCUGAUCAGCCACAGAGAGCUGUCCCUCAUGAAACCCACAGCAACACUGGUCAACAUCAGCAGAGGUCUGGUUGUGGACCAGGAUGCUUUAGUCAAAGCUCUGCAGUCUGGAACGAUUCGUGCAGCAGCAUUAGACGUGACUCAUCCUGAACCUUUACCAAGGGAUCAUCCUCUCCUUGGCCUUCCUAAUGUGCUGCUCACCCCCCACCUUGGCACCAACACUUACACUACAACAAGAAGGAUGGUGCAGAGGAUGGUUGAAAAUGCUCUGGCUGCAGUGAAAGGCCAAUCUAUUCCCAAUGAAGUCAAACUAAAAUGGGUUUGACCUCAGUUCAAAAUUGCCGUCCCCAUGUUUGAAAAAAUGCUGCAAAAGUGCCCUCUUGGAUGCCCUUAAAUCAUAGAUAAAACAUGAUAAAGUGCCAUAACAAUGUUACAGUCAGUGUAGAGAGGCAAGCACAGGGGUGAUGUGAUCGUGUCUUUUUUGUCCCAGUAACGAGUCAAGCAAUUUUAGAGAUUAUCUUUAGCUGCAGAAACAUGACUGGACAACUUUUCUUUGGACUUGCUCAUUAAAAGUGUCACCAGCAUAAAAAUGGUAAAGCACAUAAUGUUUUUGGAUAAGCUGGCCAAAAGGCAGCAUGUAAAUAGAGAACAGAAGGGGUCCAAGAACUGAACCUUGAGGGACACCACAGCUUAACUGAGCCGUAGAGGAAGAAGAGUUACCCUGAAUAAUAAAGAAAGAUCUGUUGGAGAGUGUAAUAAACUAAGAGCUGCUUCCUCAAUGCCUACCCAAGUCUCCAGGCGAUAUAACGGGAUGCUAUGAUCAAAUGUAUCGAAGGCAGCACUUAAAUUACCUUAAAGUCACCUCUGUCUGCAGUCAACUGUAGGUCAUUAGUAACUUUAACAUGUGCUGUCUCGGUACUAUGAAGUGCUCUCAAACCACACAGGAAACAAAAAAAAAAGAUCACUGCACUGCUGUAGGCAGACAAAAGACGAACAAAACACAUAAGACUUCACAACUUUUUGAGAGAAACACACAUGGAAUGAACCUUUCGUAAACUCAUCUGUUCUCCCGCUUUUUCUCUCAAAAGUACUAUUAUUAUUCAUAAAAGAUAUCAGUUGAGAUGAGAUUACUCUUUCCAGAACUUUAGAUAAAAGAAACCAGCAGGGCUGGAAGGGAGGAGAGGAGGAGCAGAUACUUCUAAAGUUAAGGUGGUGAGAUUACACAACAGUGAAAAGCAGGUAAGCUGCUGAUCUGCAGCUGCCAUAGCCUCACAUGGCCUUCCCUGAUCCUUGAUGCUCUGGUGUGUUGCCGGAACACACACACACACACACACACACACACACACACACACACACACACACACACACACACACACACACACAUUACUCCUUAUUAUGAACUUUCAACUUCAGUGAGAAAUACAGCAGUAGAAAAGUAGGAAAGAUUGAUUUCAGAUGUGAGAAUUACUAAAUUUACACGAACGACUAAUUCAAACCACCUCCAGUCAAAUAUAAAGAAGCUGCAUUAAGAAAUAUAAUAGAUGUAAAAAUCUAAAAAACACUGGCACUUUAACUCUCCUAAUUAACUAAAGAAUUAUUGUUUCCACAAUGUUUUCAACACGAAAAUAAGAUACUAAAUACAGUGAUUUAGUAAAUCCCUCUUUAAAAAUUGUUGAAUCUCACAAUGUUAAUAUAUUUUAAGACUAUGAAAAAUAAAAAGUUGAAAUAAGCAAAGCAAAUGGCUAAAACAUAGUCACGUGUUAUGAGACUACUUUAAUCUUUUGCUAUGUGAUAAUUAAAGGGAUAACAAAGAAAAACAAUUCUUUAAAAAAAAACCUUUAUAUGAUCAUUUAUUUCUUUGCGCUUGUGAAUUACAGGAUGUUUUUUCUUCUUCAGGACAAUAAAAAUCCUUCUGAUGAAACAUAUGAACUAAAACUCACUCUCAUGUCCACACCAAGGCCAUUAACUGAACAUAUUACAUACAUAUUACAUAUUAGUAGAUCACACGACAAACAGGCUGGGAACCACUGUCUUACACAGUGUGGCUGUUGUCUGCUCAUUCUGUUGAUAUGUUACUGCAAAUAUAAAAAUUAGAAGUAGAAGAUGAGGUCAUCCAUCCCACACAAAAGAAGCAGUGUAAGUGCCGACAGGUUAUGUGUGCUGUGACAGCAGACUUUCAGCAGAUAAGCUCAUUCACAAGCGAAGUCCCUGUGCUGCCAUACAGACACAUGUUGAUGUAUUACUGCCACCUAGUGGUUACAUGUUCAAAUGACGUUCAUGUCCUACUGUAGAUUAGAAUAAUUUGGGCUCUUAAAUAGGGGACAUUAAAGAGUGAGCACAUGUUUGCUGCACUGUGGCUUGGUGAGCAAGAUAACAUUGUUAUGAUGCAAAAGAAUUGUCAACAAAACAUUUAGUGUUAUUGCUUCUUAUGGAAUUUGUUUAUAUGAUUUUCAUACAUUUUGCUUAUCUGCAUUUUAUCAUUUCUCAUACUCCCAAAGUUCUUGUAUUGUUAUUAUUUGCAUAUGUAUCAUGUGAUUCAUAGAUUACGUUUUCAUAUUACUCCACACUACGAUAAGGGUUUAUUAUUCAUUUAUUUUUUGUGCUUUUGCUUGCUUGUUUUUUUUUGUUUUUAUCAUUUGUGUCCUGUUUUUUUGCUCUGGGACUUUGGGUUGCCUUGGGUAUGAAAUGUGUUAUAUAAAUAAAUUUGCCUUGCCUAAUUCACAUCUUAUUAUAUUCGUAUCUAUCUAGCCUUGAUCAUAUCUCACAUUAUCUUCUACCUUUUACAAAUCCAUACUUUUAGCACAAAAAACUUGGUCAUAUAAAUAGUACAUAUAUAUAACUGCCAGUUUGCAUGCACUUUUUUCACAUUACAUGCUCCUCUAAUUCUAAUUGUUAUUUUCUGCUACAGUAGCUGAACGUCCCUUUGAGGAUAAUUCAUUUCCUCAUCAGAAUCUCUCACUGAAUUGAUGACACCAACAAGCAGAUACAAUAGGAGGAAAAAGACACAGGACUGAGAAAAACUCCUCAGGUUCCAGCUGAAGAAUGCAAAGUCUCUGCUAUGUCCGGUACAUGAGGAGACUGUGGGGCCCAGCACAAGCAUACCGGCUUCUUAAAGGGACAAACAUGCACAGAUCUGUACAUCAACUGCAACUACACAAAAAGCUCUUGACUUCUUGACUGCCCUCUUCCCAUCUGGCCAUAUGUGCCUUAUGAACACUUCAUUUAUAAAGAACCAG